UUUGACUUUGAAGGUGGUAAAUUUAUAAAGAAAAAAAUUUAGUUUUUAGUGGUAAAAAAUUUUUUUUAUUAUAGAGAAUUAGUAUUGAAAAAGAAAUUUUUAUUUUAAUUAAAAGAAAAAUUUUAUUUUUGUACCUUGUGUAUCAGGGUCUAUUAAAAAAAACUUAAAUUUUUUAAAUUUCUYGAAUUUAAAAGAGCUAUAUUUUUAUAUUUUUUAAUGUAGAAUAAUUAUUGUAAAUAAAAUUAUGGAAGUGAAACGCUAGUCGAUUUUAAAUAUAUCUAGUUUUUUAAGAAAAAAAUUUAAUUUUAUUUUUAAAAUAAUAUAAAAAUUUUUAUUUAAUUUUAUAUUUUUAAAAUUUAAUAUAGGUAGGGUUGAGCUUACUUAUAAAAUAGUACAAAUAUUAGAUUUAUUAAAAAAAAAUAGGAUUGGAAAUUUUUAUUUUUAUUAGUUUGUUAAAAUUAAUUUAUAAUAGAAAAGAUUUCUAUUUGUUUUACUUUUUUUAUUAAAAUAAAUUUUUUAAUUUAUUAAAAAUUGAAAUUAUGGUAGAAUUAGUAUAAUUUUAUGUUUAUUUGUAUUAGUUAGGUGAGGUAAAAUUAAGGAACUCGGCAAAUUAAAAUUUUUUACCUGUUUAUUAAAAACAUGUCUUUUUGAUAAUAAUUUAAAGUCUCGCCUGCCCUAUGAUUUUUAUUAAAUGGCCGCGGUAUCUUGACCGUGCAAAGGUAGCAUAAUCAUUAGUUUUUUAAUUGAAAGCUUGUAUGAAAGGUUGGAUAAGAAAAUUACUGUCUCAGUUUUAUUUAAUUAGAAUUUUAUUUUUAAGUUAAAAAGCUUAAAUUUUUAUAAAAGACGAGAAGACCCUAUAGAGUUUUAUAAAAAUGUAUAUUUAGUUAAAUAAAGAAUUAUUUUAACAAAUAAAUAUUUUUAUUUGGUUGGGGUGAUAGAAAAAUUUAAUAAACUUUUUUUGUUUAUGUACAUUGAUAUAUGGGCAAUUGAUCCUAAGAGUUUAGAUUAAAAGAAUAAAUUACCUUAGGGAUAACAGCGUAAUUUUUUUUUAGAGUUCAAAUCGAAAAAAAAGAUUGCGACCUCGAUGUUGGAUUAAAAGAAAGUUCUGGUGUAGCAGCUAGAAGAAUUAGGUCUGUUCGACCUUUAAAAUUUUACAUGAUCUGAGUUUAAACCGGUGUAAGCCAGGUUGGUUUCUAUCUUUAUAAAGUAUUUAUAUUUUAGUACGAAAGGACCAUAUAUAAGUUUAAAAAAUUUACUAUAGAAUGCCAUUAAUUUUAUUGUU
rnacentral:rRNA from 1 species